CAUCUGUGCAGUCUUGGUUUGUAAAUGCUCAUGAGGGUGGCAGGAAGGAGGUCUCUAUAGUAACGGCUGAGGAAGGGGCUGUGUGUGCGUGUGCCUCUCUGUGCUUGUGUGUGUGCGUGAGUGUGUGUGUGUGUGUAAGGCAGGGGACAGGGAGGAAGAAUCAUCCCAGACCCUUAACCCUUACUCCUAAACCUUUAUUUCUGCCGUGAUGAGCUAUUAAUUAAUUCUCACUGCUGGCUUAUUAUCCCCAGAGAUAAUGAGCUACUACUGUUCCUAACUGGAGUCUCCCGGGGAACGUUUUAUAAAGAGAUUCAUCCAUUUCUGCCCACCUGCACCUGCCUGGGACAUAUGCAAAUGGCUCCAUGCUCCUCCUUUGGAGCUGGGAAGUCAGAGCUGUCCUCCAUGUGGGAGGCAGAAUGGAAGAAUUAAGGCAGAGUGUUUCAGCUGCACUCCCACAAGUCAUGUAGCUGACAGUGAACUUGGUUUUGGGCAGAUGCCAGACUCUUAUUCUGAAGCCGAGGCCACAACCUAUGAGGUAAUCUUCGGAGUUGCAUUCGAGGCGGAGUCCCA
rnacentral:lncRNA from 1 species